UACGUAGGUGACCAGCGUUGUCCGGAUUUACUGGGCGUAAAGAGCGCGCAGGCGGUCGUUCAAGUCGAGUGUGAAAGCCCCCGGCUCAACUGGGGAGGGUCAUUCGAUACUGAUCGACUGGAAGGCAGGAGAGGGAAGCGGAAUUCCCGGUGUAGUGGUGAAAUGCGUAGAUAUUGGGAGGAACACCAGUGGCGAAGGCGGCUCACUGGACUGGUACUGACGCUGAGGCGCGAAAGCGUGGGGAGCAAACAGG
rnacentral:rRNA from 1 species